CACGUAGGGUGCGAGCGUUGUCCGGAAUUAUUGGGCGUAAAGAGCUCGUAGGCGGUGUGUCGCGUCGGCCGUGAAAACCUGCAGCUUAACUGUGGGCUUGCGGUCGAUACGGGCAUCACUGGAGUUCGGCAGGGGAGACUGGAAUUCCUGGUGUAGCGGUGAAAUGCGCAGGUAUCAGGAGGAACACCGGUGGCGAAGGCGGGUCUCUGGGCCGAUACUGACGCUGAGGAGCGAAAGCGUGGGGAGCGAACAGG
rnacentral:rRNA from 1 species